AAGUGAAGCAGAGGACAGUGGCGGACGGGUGAGUAACGCGUGAGGAACCUGCCUUUCAGAGGGGGACAACAGUUGGAAACGACUGCUAAUACCGCAUGACACAUAGAUGUCGCAUGGCAUUUAUGUCAAAGAUUUAUCGCUGAAAGAUGGCCUCGCGUCUGAUUAGCUAGUUGGUGAGGUAACGGCCCACCAAGGCGACGAUCAGUAGCCGGACUGAGAGGUUGAACGGCCACAUUGGAACUGAGACACGGUCCAAACUCC
rnacentral:rRNA from 1 species